GCGGUCCGCGUAGCCACGCAAGGGUGGGGAGGGGCCCUGGGCAGGCUGGGAGGGGCUCACCUUUCCGAGAAAGGCGGCGGCUUCCCUUCGUCGCGAGCGGGGGCGCUUGGGGACCCUCUGAGGCCCGAGCGCGCGGAACCGGACUCUGGGGAGGGCUUCGCUUUACUCCGGGCGCCUUUUAGGGCCCGGGACGGCCUGGGAAAGUUUCCAAGGAACCGAGAAGGCGUCCGAACUCCGCGGGCGCUAACCCUGGUCCGCUCGGGCCGCGCGCCCCUCGCGCUGCCGCCCGCUCCAGGAGGCCGAGGCGGGGCAGUCUCCGCCUCUGGGCGUGGACAGGAGGCCGCACCCACGGCUGCCGCGCUCCAGCUCGCGCCGCCCCGCCCUGGGGCGUGGACAGGGGGAUCCCAGGUCCCUCUCGCCCUCCUCCCUGGAUCCUCUCCGGCUCCCUCUUUUCCCGCCGGCCGCGCCCGGCCUCGCAGCGCUCACAACCGCCCUCGUCCCCGCGCGGUCAGCAUGGGGCGCCCGGCCGCGCUCGCCCUGCUCUUCGUGGGGCUCCUGGGAGCCCUGGUGCACGCGCAGGAUGACUUUGAUUUAUCUGAAGCACUUGACGAUGGCAAGAAAACCACCGCAGCCCCCAAGAAGCCCUCUGGCGGGGGUGACUUCGACUUAAGCGAAGCUGUCGAUACCGGAGGAAACCGUGAGUAUGUCUUAAAACUCUUCAUUGUCACCAGUCUUGGGUCAUUCCUAAGAAGAACUCUCUUUUCUUUUGUCUUUUUGAGACAGGGUCUUGCUGUGCAGUUCAGGCUGGCGUCCAGCUCACUUUGUAGCCCAGGCUGGUCUCGAGCUCACAGUGACCCUCCUGCCUCAGCCUCCCAAGUGCUGGGGUUACAGAUGUGUGCUACCGUGCCUGGCCAGAACUCUAUCUUCUAAGUAGUGGGACUGUUUUUGAUGGAGUGCAGGGGAAUCCGUGGGUAUGGUGGUGGUGUUGCUUUUGCUGUUGUUUUGAUUUUUUUUAAAUUUUUUAAACCAGCAUUCUUAUUUUUGUUUUAGAACUCUUGAAUGAGCUUUCAAAACUUCUUGGGUGUGUAGCCCAUC
rnacentral:lncRNA from 1 species